UGAUGGUGAGUGGUCUUGGUUCCUGUUAGUAGGAUUCCUACGUUUACCUUUCGCCAUCUGGUAAUCUCUGGAGUUAGUAGUUAUAGUUGACUCUGUUUAGAGAUUGUUCUUCUGGUGAUUCUGUUACCGUCUCUCAGCAGACCUGGGAGACAGAUUCUCUCCUCUGAGUUUCAGUGCUCAGAGCACUAUCUGCUGGCAAGCUCUCUUACAGGGAAGGUGCGCAGAUAUCUUGUUUUUGGACCUCCUCCUGGUCGAAGAAGAAGGCCCAAAACAGGGCCUCUCUCAGAAGCUGUGUUGCUUUGGCAGUUCCCAGAAGCUGUCAGCUUCUGUGGUGCAGACUCUCACCUGUGCAGACUAAAAUCCUAAGUUCCAGGGAGUCCUGGAACCAAGAUGGUGACCGCUGCUCCUGAGGCUGAGGCCAUCUCCCGAGCCAGGCGGACACCUGUCCUCUGGUCCGGAUGGUGGCCGGUUGUCUGCGGCCCGCCCAGGCUGCUGCCUCAGCGGCUCUGUGCUUCUGCCCGUCCCAGAAGCUGUCCGGUUCUCUGGCGCACCCUCUAACCUGUUCAGACUAAUUUCCUAAGUUCUGCUGAGUCCCGGAACCAAGAUGGUGACCGCUCAAUAAUAUUAUUUUAAAACAAUGAAAAUCCCUUAGUUACUCUUAAUGUGUUUUAUUUAGCAUAUAAGUGAGGUAGAUACCUAGCAGAUUUUCCUAUAAUAUUAAAGGAAUUGUUUUCUUCUACAAAAGGAUGACACUUGCUUUACAAACACAAUUACUGAGAAUAUUUUAAAAUUAUCUUAUUUUCAUUUUAAAUUAUUUUUUGUGCUAUGUAUCUAACAAGAACCUUAUACAUGCUAGAAUAUUGGUCUUUGACUCAAAAAUAUUUUAGUCUUUAAAUGUAUUUAAUUGAGUCUUAGAAUCUUAAGGAGAAACCUUCAGUUCUUCCUAAGAUGUCCUCUGUAUUUCUUGACCAUAGCCAUUACUUCUUUGAUUCAGAUAGUCUGUGUCUGGGGAUAUACUUUUUGUUUAUUAUUUUUGAGUCUUAAAUAACCAUGGUUAACUUAAUCCUUAAUUUUGAAAGUUUGAGGCUACAUUGAGAAAAACUGUAAAAUUUUCCAUUGGGUAGAGACGCCAAAGAUUAGAAUAUCUUUUCUUAACCAAACUUCCAAAUAUAUUCUCAUUGCAUCAGCUGUAUUCUCCUUGCAGGGAUUUACUACGUUCCCAUUGCAAGAAAUAAAAUGGUGCCUUUGAGUAAAUCUGCUUCAUCAGACACCAGUUUAGCAUGCCAAGUUAAAGCCAUCAAUGGAGAAGCAGCAGAUGUGAAGGCUACUUGGCAUCAAAGCAUAUGAGUCAAAGAGUUUCCUAUGGGAAAGAAAGUGCUUCAUUACACUUUAUCUAUAGUGAGAACAUUGGUUCUAUCAAGCUGUCUGGAAAUUAGAAUAUGAUGGGUUUUAUUGCCCUGGCUCUGCCAGAGAGAAUUCAAUAGUUAAAAAGAAAGCCAUAAUGCCAUUUUGGGAAUUAUAAGAAGUGAUUUCAGUGUUAGUGUAUUUAAACUUGGAAGAGCAGCAACUUUUAUCUUAGAAAGUAGCUUCUCUAAAAUAUCUGGAGGACAGAAGUUUAAUCCCUUUCUAAUUGUUACAUUUAAAAUGUGUACUAAUGCAGCUUUGGGACACUUUAAUUAAAGAAAAAAGUUAUGUGUUCGACUGAAGUGUAAAAUCUGCUAAGCAGUGUUUUAAUUGGCUUGGAAGGCAAGUGCCUGAAGUGGCUGCAAUUGCAGGGUACAGUAUGGGACUCUCCCCGCCUGGCACUCCCUCUCCACUCAGUGGAACAACCAUUCCUACUGUUUGUCAAGUUGGGAAGGGCAGCAUAAAUAAGGUGUCACACCUCAUUAAUCUUAGGGGCAAAUGCCCCACAGGGACUAGAAAAUUCUAAAGUCAGUUAAUAAAAUUACUUUGAAUUGGAACAUCAAGUGCUGGAUAAUGGUUGCCAAUGUGAGUGUUUACUGCCAACGAAGAGCAUUUUGAAAGAAAUACAAACAUGACAUAUUUUUGGAAACGAGAUAAAUUUAUAUAACUAUUAUCCAAAAAAAUGCCUUGGAAUUUAAAAAAACUAUAAUGUUUAUUUCUUAUAUAAAAAUAGGUAAAAUGUAAAUUCUUCAUGUUAUACAAAUUUGUGAAUAAAAACAUAGAGUUUUGAAAAAUAAUAAAAAAAGAACCUCAAUUCAGUUUGAAUAAAUUGUAUUUACUACCAUUGUCCUUGGUCACUCUGAUUUUUCUUUUACUUUAUUCCUUGGUUUGUUUCUGUCUUUCUCUCUCUCUUUCUUUCUUUCUCUCUUUCUUUCUUUCUCUCUUUCUUUCUUUCUCUCUCUCUCUCGCUUGCUUGCUUUCUUUCUUUCUUUCUUUCUUUCUUUCUUUCUUUCUUUCUUUCUUUCUUUCUUCCUUCCUUCCUUCCUUCCUUCCUCCUUCCUUCUUUUUCUUUUUUCUUUGUUUUUCUUUCUUUAGGAAUGAGUCCAACAUUAGAGUAUUUUAUAAUAUACUGCUCUUAUUGGCAAUCCAUUAAUUAUCUGAUGAAUUUGUUGAAAUUAUCCUUAAUUCAUAAUCUCCUAGAUAGUCAGUACUCUUUGUUUUUGAGGUUUUUUAAGCUUUUUUUUUUUUUUUUUUUUUUUUUGGUUUCUGCAGGAGAAAUCUGUGCUUCUAUAUAUUUACACAUAUUGAAAAUAACUUUCACAUUUGCCAACUGAUUUUUUAUGAAUAAAACAUGUGUGUUUACAGGCAUGUAUGUAUGACGGUGUGUACGUAUGUAUGUGUGUCUAUGUGUGAGAGAGAGAAAGACAGAGGCAGGGACAGAGAAAAGCAUAGAGAUGGAGGCAGAGAUAGAGAUAUAGAAAGGAAGAGAGAGGGAAAGAGAACAUAUAGCAGCCAGAACACUUUAUCACGUCCCUGUCACUAGGUUCACAGGUACCUGUGUCUACAGGUAGCUUCUCACAUACAUACUGGGGUUCAAAACUCUAGACUUUUGCUCUGCGUAAAAGGCACUUUACAAACUAACAUAACCCGAAUGCCUAAAAUUUUUCUUUAAAAUGAUUUUCAAGCCUUUCCCCAAAGAUAAAGUAACACUAUUAUUACUUUGCUCUGACUUAGGAAAAGUUGAUAUAA